GAGGAGAUGAUUCUGUGGUUAAGAGUACUGGCUGCUCCUCCAGAGAACCUGGGUUCAAUUCCCAGCAUCCACA
rnacentral:tRNA from 1 species